rnacentral:snoRNA from 1 species
AAGACCAUACUUUCAGGAGUCAUUUCUGUGUUCUAUUACUACAGCCAUUUCUCUGCACCUGCCGGAGGAGGAAAACAGCGCUCUCAGCGUGAAGUCUGUGCUUGGUGCUGCUUCUCUAACUGCCUCUGCCAUGGAUAAUCAUUCUUCUCUCUCUUUGAGAGAGUUGGAGGAAAAUAGCACAGAGUGGU